rnacentral:rRNA from 1 species
GACGAACGCUGGCGGCGUGCUUAACACAUGCAAGUCGAACGGAAAGGCCCUGCUUUUGUGGGGUGCUCGAGUGGCGAACGGGUGAGUAACACGUGAGUAACCUGGCCUUGACUUUGGGAUAACUUCAGGAAACUGGGGCUAAUACCGGAUAGGAGCUCCUGCUGCAUGGUGGGGGUUGGAAAGUUUCGGCGGUUGGGGAUGGACUCGCGGCUUAUCAGCUUGUUGGUGGGGUAGUGGCUUACCAAGGCUUUGACGGGUAGCCGGCCUGAGAGGGUGACCGGCCACAUUGGGACUGAGAUACGACCCAGACUCCUACGGGAGGCAGCAGUGGGGAAUAUUGCACAAUGGGCGAAAGCCUGAUGCAGCAACGCCGCGUGCGGGAUGACGGCCUUCGGGUUGUAAACCGCUUUCGCCUGUGACGAAGCGUGAGUGACGGUAAUGGGUAAAGAAGCACCGGCUAACUACGUG